AGUGAACGCUGGCGGUAGGCCUAGCACAUGCAAGUCGAACGGCAGCACAGUAAGAGCUUGCUCUUACGGGUGGCGAGUGGCGGACGGGUGAGGAAUACAUCGGAAUCUACUUUUUCGUGGGGGAUAACGUAGGGAAACUUACGCUAAUACCGGAUACGACCUACGGGUGAAAGCAGGGGAUCUUCGGACCUUGCGCGAUUGAAUGAGCCGAUGUCGGAUUAGCUAGUUGGCGGGGUAAAGGCCCACCAAGGCGACGAUCCGUAGCUGGUCUGAGAGGAUGAUCAGCCACACUGGAACUGAGACACGGUCCAGACUCCUACGGGAGGCAGCAGUGGGGAAUAUUGGACAAUGGGCGCAAGCCUGAUCCAGCCAUACCGCGUGGGUGAAGAAGGCCUUCGGGUUGUAAAGCCCUUUUGUUGGGAAAGAAAAGCAGCAGGUUAAUACCCCGCUGUUCUGACGGUACCCAAAGAAUAAGCACCGGCUAACUUCGUG
rnacentral:rRNA from 1 species